rnacentral:lncRNA from 7 species
GGCUCAUAAAAUCUCCGAGGCAGAGGCAGGGCAGCUUUCUCAGCCCCCGAGCUCGCAAAGGUGACCCAGGGACAGACAAACUGUGCUGAAGUCAGAAAUCAACUGGCAUAUUCAGUCUGGAGGAAUCUCCCAGGGUACCAGUCGAAUGCAUUAAGAGUGUAUUUCUCCAGCAAGAAGUGAUGGGAAGAGCACAGAGCAAAAAGAAGAAAGAAGCAGGGAAGAAGAUGAAGAAAUAAUCUCUCGAAGGACGCAGUAAUACUACCAUCUAACUAAAAAGAAUUCAGACAUGCACACAAUCCUCAGGAAAAUUCAUCUCCACCCUCCCAACGGACUCUGACUACCACUGAUCCAAGGACCACUGGUGUGGAACCACUGUUUUGUCCGUGGUCCCAAGACAAGAGGCAGAGGGGAAAAAAUGAAGCACAGGAGGUCCUGUCUGAAAGCAUCAGGAAGUAUUUCUGUGCUGAGGGUGACCAAGCCCUAGAGCAUGUUGCUCAGAGAAGCUGCAGAGCCCUCCUGCAUUCUUGAGGAUACUCAAAAGUCACUGCAAGAUGAAGACAGCCACUGACCUCCAAAUCAAUCGGUUUUGUAGUUUACAAACAUAUUUUACAGUACUUGUAGCCAGAUUCUUUGUGGGUUGUCAUCUUUUGUUUCCAACUAAUACCGAACAACUCCUAGGUUCUCUUUCCUAAAUGUAUGUUGAUCUGCUGCAACUUCUUUUGCCAGUCUCUGCCUUAUUUGGUACCUUGUAAAAGGAAAUAGCAAUUCUCACAUCUUAGGAGGAUGGCUAAGAGUUCUCUGUCUGUCUAGAAGACUGCAUGUUCCUCAUGGUUUUUGUCCUACCAGGGAGCCACAUGUUGCAAAAGAGAAUGAUAGCAUGGGAUUGAGGAGGUAACUUGCUGAACCACUCCCAAGGAAACUGAUGGUACAAUAAAAGCAAAUUGAAC